rnacentral:rRNA from 1 species
GACGAACGCUGGCGGCGUGCUUAACACAUGCAAGUCGAGCGGUAAGGCCCUUUCGGGGUACACGAGCGGCGAACGGGUGAGUAACACGUGGGUGACCUGCCCUCAGCUCUGGGAUAAGCCUGGGAAACCGGGUCUAAUACUGGAUAUGACUCCAUGACGCAUGUUGUGGGGUGGAAAGCCUUGUAGCGGCUGAGGAUGGGCCCGCGGCCUAUCAGCUUGUUGGUGGGGUGANGGCCUACCAAGGCGACGACGGGUAGCCGGCCUGAGAGGGCGACCGGCCACACUGGGACUGAGACACGGCCCAGACUCCUACGGGA